rnacentral:rRNA from 1 species
CCUCGCCUUUAUUGCCAGCAUUUGGUUGGGUACUCUAAAGGAACCGCCGGUGAUAAGCCGGAGGAAGGUGGGGAUGACGUCAAUUCCUCAUGGCCCUUACGCGCUGGGCUACACACGUGCUACAAUGGCGACUACAGUGGGCUGCAACCGUGCGAGCGGUAGCUAAUCUCCAAAAGUCGUCUCAGUUCGGAUUGUUCUCUGCAACUCGAGAGCAUGAAGGCGGAAUCGCUAGUAAUCGCGGAUCAGCAUGCCGCGGUGAAUACGUUCCCAGGCCUUGUACACACCGCCCGUCACACCAUGGGAUUUGGAUUCACCCGAAGGCACUGCGUUAACCCGCAAGGGAGACAGGUGACCACGGUGGGUUUAGAGACUGGGGUGAA